rnacentral:rRNA from 1 species
UACGGAGGGUGCAAGCGUUAUCCGGAUUCACUGGGUUUAAAGGGUGCGUAGGCGGGUAGGUAAGUCAGAGGUGAAAUCCUGGAGCUUAACUCCAGAACUGCCUUUGAUACUAUCUAUCUUGAAUAUGGUGGAGGUAAGCGGAAUAUGUCAUGUACCGGUGAAAUGCAUAGAUAUGACAUAGAACACCUAUUGCGAAGGCAGCUUACUACGCCUAUAUUGACGCUGAGGCACGAAAGCGUGGGGAUCAAACAGG